rnacentral:lncRNA from 1 species
CUUUCCUCUUAAAACUUUUUCACAUCCUGAUGAAAUCCUAAAAGUCUAAAAGCCGAGGUAAAGAAACACAUUUUAAAAAUGCAACAAUUCUUCCCUCUGCCCAUCCUGUUGGAAGGAGUUGCCUGUUCUAGAACACUUGCCACAUCAGAGGAUGAGAACUUGUGCAUGCACAGGUAAAAAAUGCCAAAGCAGGACUGAACACAAAGUCAUUUGCUGGAACAUUUAAUAAGGAGCAAAGAGAAAAGGAGUGAAUCAAAGGGAAAUUGCUGAUUAAUACCAAAGUGUAUGCAUAAAAAUAUAUGUGUAUGACUCAUCCACAAGAGAAAGAGAGACUCCAGAUAAAUUCAACUUGCUCCUGAAAAAGUGAAAAGUAGAAGGACUGUCUUGGAAAAUAAACUAACAAUCACUGGAUGCA